AUGGCGGCGCGCCCCACCACCGCGGCGGGAGGCGGGGGCGGGGCGGACGAGGAGGUGUCGGAGGCGGGCGCGUCCCCGGAGCUGCGGCACCGCCACGCGGGCAAGGGCGCGGGCGAGGCCGGGGGCAGCGAGGGGCUGGCGGGCGGCAAUGGCGCCGCGGCGGGCGACGCGGCGUCGGUGGAGCGGGUGUUCGCGGACAAGGGGGUGCCGUCGUGGCGGGAGCAGCUCACGCUGCGGGCGUUCGUCGUCUCCGCGCUGCUCGCCGUCAUGUUCAGCGUCAUCGUCAUGAAGCUCAACCUCACCACGGGGAUCAUCCCCUCGCUCAACGUCUCCGCGGGGCUGCUCGGCUUCUUCUUCGUCCGCAUGUGGACCGCCGCCGCCGGGCGGAUGGGCUUCCUGCGCCAGCCCUUCACGCGCCAGGAGAACACCGUCAUCCAGACCUGCGUCGUCUCCGCCUACGGCAUCGCGUUCAGCGGUGGCUUCGGCAGUUAUCUAUUUGGGAUGAGUGAUAAAAUAGCUAAGCAAGCAACAGAGGCUAAAGAUGCUAAUAAUAUAAAGGAUCCACACCUUGGCUGGAUGAUAGGGUUCUUAUUCCUUGUCAGUUUCAUUGGGUUAUUGGCACUUGUGCCCCUAAGAAAAAUUAUGAUUGUUGACUACAAACUGACUAUCCAAGCGGCACAGCCACUGCAUAUCUCAUCAAUGGUUUUCACACACCUGAGGGUGCCAAGCUUGCAAAGAAGCAAGUAAAGACACUGGGCAAGUACUUCGCGUUUAGCUUUUUCUGGGGCUUUUUUCAGUGGUUCUACACCGCAGGGGAUGACUGUGGAUUCAAAAAUUUCCCAACGUUGGGUCUUGAAGCUUAUAAACACAGGUUCUUCUUUGACUUCUCUCCUACAUAUGUUGGAGUUGGCAUGAUCUGCCCAUACAUUGUGAAUGUGUCUGUUCUGUUGGGCGGUAUCCUUUCAUGGGGUGUAAUGUGGCCUCUCAUUGCCAAGAAGGGGAGUUGGUACCCAGCUGACGCCGGAGACUCAAGUCUACAUGGACUGCAGGCUUACAGGGUUUUUAUUUCCAUUGCUUUGAUUCUUGGGGAUGGUUUAUACAACUUCAUUAAGGUGCUGAUCCGCACAAUUGCAGGCUUCAUAACAAUGAUUCAGCAAAAUUCAAAAAGCAUGCUUCCCGUUUCAGACAUUGGCAGCUCCAUGUCCACUACUGAAGCUGUAUCCUUCGACGAAGAACGUCGCACUGAGCUUUUCCUGAAAGAUCAAAUUCCCAAGUCAGUUGCAUAUGGAGGCUAUGUCGCAGUUGCUGCUAUAUCGAUUGGCACUCUUCCUCAGAUCUUCCCGCAGCUCAAGUGGUACUACAUUUUGGUUGCCUAUGUGGUGGCGCCUGUGCUGGCCUUCUGCAACGCCUACGGAAGUGGCCUCACUGACUGGUCUCUCGCCUCCACCUACGGCAAGCUUGCCAUCUUCGUGUUCGGCGCUUGGGCUGGCCUCGCUCACGGUGGUGUGCUCGUCGGGCUCGCCACGUGUGGCGUCAUGAUGAGCAUCGUGUCCACGGCCUCAGACCUGAUGCAGGACUUUAAGACCGGGUACCUGACACUCGCGUCGCCGAGGUCUAUGUUCAUCAGCCAGGUGAUCGGAACCGGGAUGGGGUGCGUCAUCGCACCUUGUGUCUUCUGGCUGUUCUACAAGGCGUUCGGCGACAUCGGCGAGAGCGGAACUGAGUACCCGGCGCCCUACGCCAUCGUGUACCGCAACAUGGCCAUCCUCGGCGUGGAUGGCUUCGGCUCGCUGCCGAAGAACUGCCUCACCCUCUGCUACAUCUUCUUCGCGGUGGCGAUCGCCAUCAACCUGGUGAGGGACCUGGUCCCGCAUAAGGUGUCGAGGUUCAUCCCGCUGCCGAUGGCGAUGGCUAUCCCCUUCUACAUCGGGUCCUACUUCGCCAUCGACAUGUUCCUGGGCAGCGCGAUCCUCUUCGUGUGGUCGCGGCUGAACAAGGCAAAGGCGGACGCGUUCGGGCCCGCGGUCGCCUCGGGGCUGAUCUGCGGGGACAGGAUCUGGACCCUGCCGCAGUCCAUUCUGGCUCUGGCUAAGGUGAACCCCCCAAUUUGCAUGAAGUUUUUGUCGAGAGCAACCAAUGCCAAGGUGGACAGCUUCCUCGGAUUGUCGUGAUUUUAGGGAGAGCAACGGCAAGCAGCACGCCUCGGGCCUGUAAUUAUCGGCACAAAAUGUAUUCCCGCACUGCUUUGUAGAAAAGAAAGAAAUGUUUCAAUGUGGAGUGCUCGCGUCUGGUUCCCGCAGUCUCCGCUGUCAAGAGGAAGAGCUUGUACUCCAUGUCCCCUAUGCUAUGCCUUCUGAGCUCAUUCAUGACGUGAUGUAUUAACGUUUUUCUUCAAAAAAAAAAGAUCCUUGUUUAGAUGCUAAAA